UAUGCCCCUUUACUACUUCGCCAAUAGAUGGCGCCAAACGCUACGGUCCUGCGCGUACUUCCGGUAUAUUACGCGAUUCAUAGACAUUUGCACGACCAACAACUACAACGAAGUAUUUACGAUGCCUUCGACGUGCUGCUGUGUCCCGGGAUGCUGCAAUCGAGGUGGUUUGUCGUUUCCGAGAGAACCCAUGUUGCUGAAACGAUGGUUGAUAGCUAUUCGGAGGAGCGACGAAUCAAACCAAGGCAAGAUGUGGAAACCGUCACCUCACAGUGUUGUGUGUCAUUCCCACUUCAGACCGUCUGAUUUCAUUGCUGUAACUAGUUAUGGUGCUUGUUUUCCACAGAGAUGAGGCACAGAUGAUUCAAGAAUACAGGGUGUACACCUCUGAGGAAACAGAGAAAACCAGAUGCUGUACCAUCAAUCUUUCCCUGGACUGCAUCAGCCAACGCACUUGAGGCCGAUGGAGGAUUAAGGAAAUCCCGCAUUGAAAGACGUGAGAGCCAAAAGAGGACAUUUAAAGCAAUGGAUACAGAUUGUGAUAUUGAAUGUGAUCUCAGUGAGGUAGCUGGGGAGGAAAUAAUUGACAAUGUUGAGUUUGAUGACAUGAAUACCGACUUAAACAUUUGUUCUGCAGAUAGUGCAGAGGUUGAAUAUGAAAGUACAUCAGCUCAGACAGACAAAUUUCCAAUGCUUUCAUUACAAAGUAUUAUGUUUAAUGCUGCAGCAAUUUUGUUUUAUACAGGACUGUCAAACUAUACAGACUUCACCUUUGUACUUGCAAGUUUGGGUCCUUGUGCAUAUCACCUAAAUUAUUUGUACAGCAAAGUUGACAGUAUGACUAUCAGUGUGGAAAAUCAAUUGCUUUUAACACUUAUGAAACUGCGCCGACAUAAGACUAACUUUGAACUUGGUCUUCAUUUUGGAAUUUCAGAGAAAACUGUAUUAAAUGUAUGGAUCACCUGGGUAAAUUUUAUGUAAAGACAGUGGAGUGAGCUUGAUAACUGGCCAGAACGAGACUUAGUGCACUAUUUUUGUCCUUCUGAUUUCAAAUCCAAAUUUCCAUCCACACGAAUUAUCAUUGAUGGUACUGAAUGCCCUAUCCAGAAACCAAAACGCCCCAUAGCUCAGCAGUCUACAUACUCAACGUAUAAAAAUCGAAAUACUAUCAAAAUACUUGUUGGAUCCACACCAGGUGGUCUUGUGUCAUACGUGUCUCCUGCGUAUGGUGGCUCCACAAGUGAUCGUCAAAUAGUAGAGCGUAGUGGUUUGACAGUGAUGUGUGACCCAGGAGAUAGUAUUAUGGCCGAUAAAGGUUUCAACGUACAAUAUAUUUUUGCACCAAAAGAUGUUACCAUUAAUAUGCCAACAUUCUUCUCAAAGAAAAACCGUAUGUCUGGCAAGACUGUUAUGCGUGAUAGGAAAAUAUCAAGCAAAAGAGUUCACAUUGAACGUAUUAUUGGUCUGGCAAAAACAUUCAAAAUACUCACUGAACCUCUUAACAGUUCAGAAACCAAAUUAGCCACAGAAAUAACCACGGUUUGCUUCAUGCUUUGUUCUUUCAAAAAGUGCAUUGUUCCCACUACUUGCUAAUCAUUAAAAAUAUCUUUGAUUCCAGGCGGACGUUAGUCAGACGUAGAGUAUGGAGAUUUGUUUCUAAUUUCUUUCAAAAAGGCCUGUUAUUUGCGUUUGCUACAUGAUUAAAGAUAAUUGUUGCUAAAUAUUCAUGAGGAUAAAGUUGAAUGUAACAUGUUAUCGAUUAUGUAUCAUGUUGAGACUAGAAUGGGAAUCUGUGGUCAAAAAGCAAGUUUGAAGCAAAUUUACCAUUUGUGCAGCCACAAUCUAUCAUACUCUUUUGUCAAGGUACAAACAUAAAUGUGUUAGUAUCAGAGAUUAUGAUAAUGUAAUGCUAAACGUCCUGUUCAAUGUGGUGUUAAACCCAUCUCACUCACUGAAUUUGUUUUACAUUUAUGACAUCAGUGACAUGAAUUUAAGAAUGUUGACAUUGUUUGGUGCGUACUGUUACAUUAUCCCCUGCCACAAAGUGGGAGAGACACAUUUCUUGUCCGAGCAUAAUUCGGAAACUGUUUCAUAUGUCAUUAUGAAACUUUGCACAUGUAUCAAACACAAGUUGAACUGGUGCCCUUUCCUGUUUUCCAUGGCAGCAAUUUGGAUUAAACCCAAAUACUGGUUGCUUUUAUUUCACGAACUUAAAAUCUGAAUAAGUUGAAGUGUAUAUUUCUGGAUCAUAUAUCCAUUAUUUUUUCAAUGGAUACAUGUUUACUGAGAAACAAAUUGUAAUUUAUUGUGUCCCAUGGCUGUGUAUUCUUGUUUCAUAUGAUACUGGCAGCAGCUAGACCGGUCCAGAUAUUUGGCACAUCUUAGUGCUGUUGCUUCAGCUCUCUCAGAUGUUAUAAAAGGCAAUCAUGACAAGAAAGAAGUCAAUGACAAUGUUUUUUUAUCAUUCCCUCAAACAGUUCAGCUGCAGAUAAUAAUCACAUGACAGUUGUAAUUCCUCAGAUAUAGAGCUGAAGGAGUAUGCUUCAAGCAGUGAUGAUAUUUAUGAGUAUGGACACUGAAUUGUGAUUAUGUAUUGCACUGUAUUGCACUGCUUCAUCUAUAUUUAGAUCUUCCAACUAUUAACUACUGGAGUACUUAACAGAUGGUUGCCAUCGUCACAAAAGGAGUUAAAAGUUAAUGUCACAUCAAUACUAUUUCAGCCAUAUAGCGACAAGACCAAGUUGAUAUACACAAUUUACUCAUGAAUGCAAAGGUAUAUUUAAAAACAUUUUUUCAUACACAUUUGGACAUAACAAUAUUUAUACAGUUUUAAAACACGGGUUAUAGGCCAUCAGAAACCAAAGCUAGGCCACCUCACCGGGGAUCAUGGGGACUUACGGUGCCUCUGCUUCCUGCACGAUACCCCAGCAGGAUUUAUGUCAUUAACUAAGCCACUGGUGGUUGUGCUCAAUACUAGCCAGUCAGCAAUGAUGUCAGUUGAUUAUAGCAUCACAUCAAAUUUAAAAACAGGCAAUUAAUGAUUCACAUACAUAUUUAGAUUAUUUUUUUUUACAGACCAUUUUUUCUUUCAAGUAGUUGAUAAUGAGGUGCCUGGUCAUAUAGUACUUUAUCAUCCAAAACUGGCUCCCACAGGAGAUAUCGCUUGGAUGAGAUCAAGCGAUAUCUACACUGUAGAUAUCGCUGCAAUGAAAUUACAUCGGGUGAGAUUCUCUAUGUAACAGUAAGUAUGAACUGACAUCUGAGAUUGUAUUUAUUUAGACUAGUGAAUGCAUCCAUGUAUGGGACCAGUGUGUACGUUGUGAUAUUUAGAUUAUCCAACUUAUAAAUACUGGAGUGAUUAAGAGAUGGAUGCCAUUGUCACAUAGUACUGUAACAGUAAGUACUAAAUGUCUUAAUAAACAUCUGAGAUUGUAUUUAUUUACACAAGUGAAUACAUCAAUGUAUGGGACCAGAGUUCAACCUGGUUUUGUCUGAUGCAACUCUUUUCACGUCAACAUGCAUCUGGUGAAAUAUCAUCCUUAAAUGGAGCCCCGCAAGUUUUUUCAUAACUUUUUGUUUGUGAAUGUCCAUAUAUGCAGAAUAUAAUAUGUUCAGCAUUAAACAUUGAGACUACAA
rnacentral:lncRNA from 1 species